rnacentral:rRNA from 1 species
UACGGAGGAUGCAAGCGUUAUCCGGAUUUAUUGGGUUUAAAGGGUGCGCAGGUGGCUUAGUAAGUCAGUGGUGAAAGUCUGCCGCUUAACGGUAGGACUGCCAUUGAUACUGCUAGGCUUGAGUUUGGAUGAGGUAGGCGGAAUGUGUAGUGUAGCGGUGAAAUGCAUAGAUAUUACACAGAACACCGAUUGCGAAGGCAGCUUAAUAAUCCGCAACUGAAACGGAGGCAAGAAAGCGGGGGGAUCAAACAGGAUGAGAUACCAGCGUAGUCC